UUAAUUGAAACCAAAAUAGAGGCGUAUUACUGUUAAUAAUAUUAUUGAAAUUAUAUUUCCAAUUAAA
rnacentral:tRNA from 1 species